rnacentral:rRNA from 1 species
CCUAAUACAUGCAAGUCGAGCGGACAGAAGGGAGCUUGCUCCCGGAUGUUAGCGGCGGACGGGUGAGUAACACGUGGGUAACCUGCCUGUAAGACUGGGAUAACUCCGGGAAACCGGAGCUAAUACCGGAUAGUUCCUUGAACCGCAUGGUUCAAGGAUGAAAGACGGUUUCGGCUGUCACUUACAGAUGGACCCGCGGCGCAUUAGCUAGUUGGUGGGGUAAUGGCUCACCAAGGCGACGAUGCGUAGCCGACCUGAGAGGGUGAUCGGCCACACUGGGACUGAGACACGGCCCAGACUCCUACGGGAGGCAGCAGUAGGGAAUCUUCCGCAAUGGACGAAAGUCUGACGGAGCAACGCCGCGUGAGUGAUGAAGGUUUUCGGAUCGUAAAGCUCUGUUGUUAGGGAAGAACAAGUGCGAGAGUAACUGCUCGCACCUUGACGGUACCUAACCAGAAAGCCACGGCUAACUACGUGCCAGCAGCCGCGGUAAUACGUAGGUGGCAAGCGUUGUCCGGAAUUAUUGGGCGUAAAGGGCUCGCAGGCGGUUUCUUAAGUCUGAUGUGAAAGCCCCCGGCUCAACCGGGGAGGGUCAUUGGAAACUGGGAAACUUGAGUGCAGAAGAGGAGAGUGGAAUUCCACGUGUAGCGGUGAAAUGCGUAGAGAUGUGGAGGAACACCAGUGGCGAAGGCGACUCUCUGGUCUGUAACUGACGCUGAGGAGCGAAAGCGUGGGGAGCGAACAGGAUUAGAUACCCUGGUAGUCCACGCCGUAAACGAUGAGUGCUAAGUGUUAGGGGGUUUCCGCCCCUUAGUGCUGCAGCUAACGCAUUAAGCACUCCG